GCCAAGCGCUGGGGAGACAAAGAAAGGCAAAAGCUUGGUAUCAGACGCCCGCUGCGGGCCAGGCUCUGUGCCAAGCGUUGGACAGAAAGCCCCUGCCUGGAGCCCGCCAUUAUGCGUGCCGGGGAGCACAGACCGGGCACGGGAAAAGGGGCCCCGAGGUUUCCGCGGGGUGCGACAGGACCCAAGCCCUAGGCGCUGGGGUGACCUGAAUGGCAGCUGCUGCUUCCUCCCCAGACGGUUCUGUUUGAACCUGAAGGCUGCUGAAGCUGAGGGAGCUUGACCUUCCAGUGCAAGGAAAUCCAGGAGGAAGUCAAAAUCCAGAGAGAGGAAGGACUUCUGCCAGGUUGCCGAGCUCGAACUCAGAGCUGGAUUCCAAAUCUUCUGGCUCCAAAGGCAACCUUCCAUCCUCUAGGGUCAUUCACUACCACCGCUAGAAG